GUGCCUGAGGGCUUCGUCCAUGUU
rnacentral:miRNA from 1 species